rnacentral:rRNA from 1 species
AGAAUCAACGCUGGCGGCGUGCCUAACACAUGCAAGUCGCACGAGAAAGUGGAGCAAUCCAUGAGUACAGUGGCGCACGGGUGAGUAACACGUGACUAACCUACCCUCGAGUGGGGAAUAACCUAGGGAAACCUGGGCUAAUACCGCAUAACACUUACGAGUCAAAGCAGCAAUGCGCUUGGGGAGGGGGUCGCGGUCGAUUAGUUAGUUGGCGGGGUAAUGGCCCACCAAGACGAUGAUCGAUAUCCGGCCUGAGAGGGCGCACGGACACACUGGAACUGAAACACGGUCCAGACUCCUACGGGAGGCAGCAGUGGGGAAUUUUGCGCAAUGGGGGAAACCCUGACGCAGCAACGCCGCGUGGAGGAUGAAGCCCCUUGGGGCGUAAACUCCUUUCGAUAGGGAAGAUAAUGACGGUACCUAUAGAAGAAGCCCCGGCUAACUUCGUGCCAGCAGCCGCGGUAAUACGAGGGGGGCAAGCGUUGUUCGGAAUUAUUGGGCGUAAAGGGUGCGUAGGCGGUUUGGUAAGUCUUGUGUGAAAUCUUCGGGCUCAACUCGAAGUCUGCACGAGAAACUACCGGACUAGAGUAUGGGAGAGGUGAGUGGAAUUUCCGGUGUAGCGGUGAAAUGCGUAGAUAUCGGAAGGAACACCUGUGGCGAAAGCGGCUCACUGGACCAUAACUGACGCUGAGGCACGAAAGCUAGGGGAGCAAACAGGAUUAGAUACCCUGGUAGUCCUAGCCCUAAACGAUGAUCGCUUGGUGUGUCGGGUACCCAAUCCCGUCGUGCCGAAGCUAACGCGUUAAGCGAUCCGCCUGGGGAGUACGGUCGCAAGGCUG